UACGUAGGGUGCAAGCGUUAAUCGGAAUUACUGGGCGUAAAGCGUGCGCAGGCGGUCUUGUAAGUCUGUCGUGAAAUCCCCGGGCUUAACCUGGGAAUGGCGAUGGAGACUGCAAGGCUAGAGUUUGGCAGAGGGGGGUAGAAUUCCACGUGUAGCAGUGAAAUGCGUAGAGAUGUGGAGGAACACCGAUGGCGAAGGCAGCCCCCUGGGUCAAAACUGACGCUCAUGCACGAAAGCGUGGGGAGCGAACAGG
rnacentral:rRNA from 1 species